rnacentral:rRNA from 1 species
ACACGUAGGUGACCUGCCCCAAAGAGGGGGAUAACUACUGGAAACGGUAGCUAAUACCCCAUGUGAUCCUUUGGAUUGGAUGACAAAGGAUUAAAGCUCCGGCGCUUUGGGAGGGGCCUGCGGCCCAUCAGCUAGUUGGUAGGGUAAUGGCCUACCAAGGCAAAGACGGGUAGGGGACGUGAGAGCGUGUCCCCCCACACUGGCACUGAUACACGGGCCAGACUCCUACGGGAGGCAGCAGUGAGGAAUAUUGCACAAUGGGCGAAAGCCUGAUGCAGCAACGCCGCGUGGAUGAUGAAUGCCUUCGGGUUGUAAAAUCCUUUUCUGGAGGAAGAGUAAGGACGGUACUCCAGGAAUAAGCGUCGGCUAACUACGUGCCAGCAGCCGCGGUAAAACGUAGGACGCGAGCGUUAUCCGGAUUUACUGGGCGUAAAGCGCGUGCAGGCGGUAUGGUAAGUCGGACGUGAAAGCUCCCGGCUCAACUGGGAGAGGUCGUUCGAGACUGCCGUACUUGAGGACGGUAGAGGAGAGUGGAAUUCCGGGUGUAGUGGUGGAAUGCGUAGAUAUCCGGAGGAACACCAGUGGCGAAGGCGGCUCUCUGGGCCGGUCCUGACGCUAAGACGCGAAAGCUAGGGUAGCAAACGGGAUUAGAAACCCCGGUAGUCCUAGCCGUAAACGAUGGAGACUA